ensembl:misc_RNA Metazoa_SRP Metazoan signal recognition particle RNA
GCUGGGUGUGGUAGCGCACACCUGUAAUCCCAGCUACUGGGGAGGCUGAGACAGGAGAAUCACUUGAACCCAGGAAGUGGAGGUUGCAGUGAGCUGAGACUAUACCACUGCAUUCCAGCCUGGGUGACAGAGUGAGACUCUGUCUCAA